rnacentral:rRNA from 1 species
AGAGUUUGAUCCUGGCUCAGGACGAACGCUGGCGGUGUGCUUCACACAUGCAAGUCGAGCGAAUGAAGUAGGUAGCUUGCUACUUAUGGAUUUAGCGGCGGACGGGUAAGUAAUAUAUAGGAAUCUGCCUUAGAGCGGGGAACAACAGACCGAAAGGUUUGCUAAUGCCCCAUAGGUAUGCAGUCUUCGGAUUGUAUAUUAAAGGAGUAAUCCACUCUAAGAUGAGCCUGUAUCCGAUUAGCUAGUUGGCGGGGUAAAGGCCCACCAAGGCUACGAUCGGUAGUUGGUCUGAGAGGAUGAUCAGCCACAAUGGGACUGAGACACGGCCCAUACUCCUACGGGAGGCAGCAGUGGGGAAUUUUACACAAUGGGGGAAACCCUGAUGUAGCGACACCGCGUGAACGAAGAAGCCUUUUGGGGUGUAAAGUUCUGUCGGCUGGAACGAAAAAAAUGACGGUACCAGCAAAGGAAGCAUCGGCUAACUACGUGCCAGCAGCCGCGGUAAGACGUAGGAUGCAAGCGUUGUCCGGAUUUAUUGGGCGUAAAGAGUUCGUAGGCGGUUAUUUAAGUCUGAUGUUAAAUACUGUGGCCCAACCACAGAACUGCAUUGGAUACUGGAUGACUUGAGUGCGGUAGAGGCAAGUGGAAUUCCCAGUGUAGCGGUGAAAUGCGUAGA